rnacentral:rRNA from 1 species
CCCUUAGAUGUUCUGGGCUGCACGCGCGCUACACUGAUGCGUUCAACAAGUUGGACCUCGUCCGAGAGGAAAUCGGGGGAAUCUUUUGAAAACGUAUCGUGAUGGGGAUAGAUUAUUGUAAUUAUUAAUCUUCAACGAGGAAUUCCUAGUAAGCAUGAAUCAUCAGCUCGUGCUGAUUACGUCCCUGCCCUUUGUACACACCGCCCGUCGCUACUACCGAUUGAAUGGUUUAGUGAGGCCUUCGGAUCCGCGACUCGUUUUGUGGAGAAGUUGGACAAACUCAGUCAUUUAGAGGAAGUAAAAGUCGUAACA